GUGCUUAACACAUGCAAGUCGAACGGAAAGGCCCUUUCGGGGGUACUCGAGUGGCGAACGGGUGAGUAACACGUGGGUGAUCUGCCCUGCACUUUGGGAUAAGCCUGGGAAACUGGGUCUAAUACCGAAUAUGAUCAUGCGCCUCAUGGUGUGUGGUGGAAAGCUUUUGCGGUGUGGGAUGGGCCCGCGGCCUAUCAGCUUGUUGGUGGGGUAAUGGCCUACCAAGGCGACGACGGGUAGCCGGCCUGAGAGGGUGUCCGGCCACACUGGGACUGAGAUACGGCCCAGACUCCUACGGGAGGCAGCAGUGGGGAAUAUUGCACAAUGGGCGCAAGCCUGAUGCAGCGACGCCGCGUGGGGGAUGACGGCCUUCGGGUUGUAAACCUCUUUCAGUAUCGGCGAAGCUCCAGGGUUUUCUUUGGGGUGACGGUAGGUACAGAAGAAGCACCGGCCAACUACGUGCCAGCAGCCGCGGUAAUACGUAGGGUGCGAGCGUUGUCCGGAAUUACUGGGCGUAAAGAGCUCGUAGGUGGUUUGUCGCGUUGUCCGUGAAAA
rnacentral:rRNA from 1 species